rnacentral:rRNA from 1 species
UCCGUAGGGUGCAAGCGUUGUCCGGAAUUAUUGGGCGUAAAGAGCUCGUAGGCGGUUGGUCGCGUCGGCUGUGAAAACCCGGAGCUCAACUCCGGGCCUGCAGUCGAUACGGGCCGACUUGAGUGUUGCAGGGGAGACUGGAAUUCCUGGUGUAGCGGUGAAAUGCGCAGAUAUCAGGAGGAACACCGGUGGCGAAGGCGGCACUCUGGGCCGGUACUGACGCUGAGGAGCGAAAGCGUGGGGAGCGAACAGG